GGGCGAUUGGCUCAGUGGUAGAGCACUCGCUUCACACGCGAGGGGUCACUGGUUCGAACCCAGUAUCGCCCA
rnacentral:tRNA from 4 species